rnacentral:SRP_RNA from 1 species
UCAUACCGGCCGGGGAGACAGCGGUGCCCUGUUACCUGCAAUCCGCUACAGCAGGGGUGGUUUCCCCCCGAGAGGGGCGCGUGCGUGCAGUCUGCACCGAUAUGAAAGUGUUGACGGAUUGGCCUUGCGCAAUUGACGGCUGUGAACCAUGUCAGGCGGGGAACCGAGCAGCAUUAAACAGUUACGUCGAUGUGCCGCAAGCAAGCCUGUCCCGAGCCGGAUUAUCGGCGGCGUGUAUGUGUGCGUUUCGAUGGGGGGUGUAUGG